AAGAUUUCCCCUGAUAGCAUUGUAAAUCACCUCUAUAAGUGCAGCCAAUUGAGAUUUUGUUAAGUUUUUUAUCAACAUUUUUUGUUGUUUUUCAUUGGUGUUGAUCAUAAAUUUUAAAAAAUGUCUCUCCUUCUGUAGUUUAUCUUCCAUUUUUCUCCUUUUCAGGUAGAAAUACAAUGGGGGUUUGAUGUGGAAAGAUGUCUGUACGAAGUUUAUAUAACGGGUUAGAAUGUGGACUUACAUCCACCAGAAGCUUGGGGAUGUCUCGCCAGAACUUAGACAGAAUGCUGGAGAACUACGAUACAACUUCACAUUAACAUCCACUUGGUUUAACAGAUCGAGAUAGUCCAUCGAAUUCUGACCACUGAUUUGAAACUCAAUGGGAGUAUCAUCCGACACUUGGGAUAUUGGACGAAUCUCUUGAUAAUGGACAUCAUUCACCGCAACUUGUGUAGGAGCUCACUUUUCGCCUGGUUUACUGUCUGUUCCGAUGGGGAAACUGUGCUGAUUGUCAUACCAUUACUUCCCAUCUUCGACUUUUGUGGAAUGGCAAAUCCCCUCCCAACUUGAGAUCAUCCGGGGAUAUCGCCAUAUUGAAAACCCGCCAGAGGUUCGGUCCACGUCCAUGGUGCUCGGGAUGAGUCAUUGGAGGACGAAGAUCGGGUGUCCUUAUGCUGCCAUGAAAUGUCGUUUUUAUGAUGUCCAAUUAUGUUCAAAAAUAAACAACUUGGAGAAUGUG